GCCCCUGUGGCGCAAUUGGAUAGCGCAUGCGACUUGUUAUCGCAAGGCUGCGGGUUCGACCCCCGCCAGGGGUU
rnacentral:tRNA from 5 species